CACCUUAUUGUAUUUGUUCAUAGCCAGGCCUAUGAGAUCACAGAGUAAGUUGUUGACUUGGUCCUCAAACAGACUAAUGUUGGUGAGUGUUUCUCCUGUCAAAUUCAUGAACUGGUGCGCGUAAACUAUCUGACCUAUCAGGAUCACAAGAACAACCUUAUGGCUACACUUCCAGAUUACAGGCCACAUCACACACAAAUCUCACCCCGAUUUUAUCUAAUGCCACAUACUCAUCAUCCUUUGCUCCAACAGGUGCAAGAUCUCCAGCACAGACCAGUGGAUGUCCAGGUGUAGAUGCAGUAAUUGCCAAGAUGGUGGAAAGAGCUAUAGAGGGGACAACAUUACCAGCAAGCUUCAGCUGUUGUAGAAAACAUCCAUUCAUUUGAAAUAUUUGAAAAAGCCUUUAUAAACAUGCACAAGACUUAAGAGUAUCUUUGCAUUUUCUACAGUAUAUGCUUGGCAUCAACAUGCAUGGACACAGCUAAUGUGAAGAAUGGCUGCUAAGGUAUAAUUGGAAUUCAACAAAUUUUCCUGCCUGUUUCCAAAUCCUUACCAAAAUCAUGUGAGCUGGACUGCACAAGCGUCUCCAGUUUUAACACCUUUUGUCUGAGAGGAAAGACAGAUUGUCAAAUUAGCAGACUUCCUGUUUCAGCAGACAAUAUGGCAUUUCUUCAGAGCCAACACACCUGCACUCCUACCUGAACAAGCCAAACAGAAGUUUGGUAGAUUCAACAAGCGCCAUUUCUGUCACCCAUGGAAAGCUGAAAAUAUCAACCGUGUCCCCUUCAAAAUCUGCAGGAGCUGGAUCAAGCUUUAACAGCAGCCUGAAACAUGGAGGUGAAGAAGGGGGGCCGACUGGGAGCAGAUUCACAGUAAUGAUCCAGUGCAGAGGGAGACAGAGGCGGGGUGAGGGACUGCGUGAACUCGCCCUCCAUGUCAACAGCGUGGGACAGACCACCGGGAACAGUGCUG